rnacentral:rRNA from 1 species
AUGGAGGAGCGGGGCAGGGGCGCGAGCAACAAGAUCCGGGACAUCGUGCGGCUGCAGCAGCUGCUAAAGCGGUGGAAGCGGAUGGCGGUGGCGCCGGGCGGCCGGGGCAAGAACGGCGGCGGCGCCGUGCCCAAGGGGUCCUUCGCGGUGUACGUGGGCGAGGAGAUGCGGCGGUUCGUGAUCCCCACCGAGUACCUGGGCCACUGGGCCUUCGAGGAGCUGCUCCGGGAGGCGGAGGAGGAGUUCGGGUUCCGGCACGAGGGCGCGCUCCGGAUCCCCUGCGACGUCGAGGCCUUCGAGGGCAUCCUCCGCCUCGUCGCCGCCGGGAAGAAGGACUCCGCCGGCGCCGCCGCCGACAUGUGCGACCGCUCCUGCUCCUCCGAGACCGAGAUCCUCUGCAGAUGA